GCACAAUGGGCGCAAGCCUGAUGCAGCAACGCCGCGUGAGGGACGAAGGCCUUCGGGUUGUAAACCUCUUUUAGUAGGGAAGAAGCGACUGGGUUUUCCUGGGAGUGACGGUACCUGCAGAAAAAGCACCGGCUAACUACGUGCCAGCAGCCGCGGUAAUACGUAGGGUGCAAGCGUUGUCCGGAAUUAUUGGGCGUAAAGAGCUCGUAGGCGGUUUGUCGCGUCUGCUGUGAAAACCCGAGGCUCAACCUCGGGCCUGCAGUGGGCACGGGCAGACUAGAGUGCGGUAGGGGAGAUUGGAAUUCCUGGUGUAGCGGUGGAAUGCGCAGAUAUCAGGAGGAACACCAAUGGCGAAGGCAGAUCUCUGGGCCGUAACUGACGCUGAGGAGCGAAAACAUGGGGAGCGAACAGGAUUAGAUACCCUGGUAGUCCAUGCCGUAAACGUUGGGAACUAGAUGUGGGGACCAUUCCACGGUCUCCGUGUCGCGGCUAACGCAUUAAGUUCCCCGCCUGGGGAGUACGGCCGCAAGGCUAAAACUCAAAGGAAUUGACGGGGGCCCGCACAAGCGGCGGAGCAUGCGGAUUAAUUCGAUGCAACGCGAAGAACCUUACCAAGGCUUGACAUAUACCGGAAACGGCUGGAAACAGUCGCCCCGCAAGGUCGGUAUACAGGUGGUGCAUGGUUGUCGUCAGCUCGUGUCGUGAGAUGUUGGGUUAAGUCCCGCAACGAGCGCAACCC
rnacentral:rRNA from 1 species